rnacentral:misc_RNA from 1 species
UUAAGUUCAGCGGGUAGUCCUACCUGAUUUGAGGUCAAACGUCAAUGAGGAAGACGCCCGGAAGGCGUCGACGCGUUAGAGGCGCGGGACCGUUUUCUGUCGUGCACUUCGGCGAACGGCGAUCAUUAUCACGCCAAAGGCCUUGUCAUGCAAAGUCGAAGGUCGACCGCAAGCCGAUUCAUUUCAGAGGAGCCGAGUCC